rnacentral:lncRNA from 1 species
UUUUAAAAUUUUAAAUUAAAUAUCUCAAGCAUGAAAAAAGGCAAAGAAAAUAUAAAACAAACACCCAGGUAUGCCAGCUUUGUCAAAUAUUAACAUUUUGUCUUAUGUAUUUCAGAGUUCUCUAAAGAAACAGAGGUGGAAUACAACCCCCAGUCCCAUUUUCCUCCUUCCUCUUCACAGAGACCUGUGGAUUGUAAUAACACUGGAAAAUCUACUUCACAAGAGGGAAAGAAGACUGAUAUAUCAAAUGAUUCUACAGCUACUCCCCUAAAUUACUGUAUGAUGCUAUUACAAAGAUACUCUACACUGUAUUUAAAAUGACUUUACUAAUUAUGUCAGUGGGUAUCCCUCCAGUAACUGUGUACAUAUCUUC